rnacentral:rRNA from 1 species
CCCUUAGAUGUUCUGGGCUGCACGCGCGCUACACUGACACGUUCAUCAAGUCUAUAACCUUGACCGAGAGGUCUGGGUAAUCUUUUAAAAACGUGUCGUGCUGGGGAUAGAUUAUUGCAAUUAUUAAUCUUCAACGAGGAAUUCCUAGUAAACGCAAGUCAUCAACUUGCAUUGAUUACGUCCCUGCCCUUUGUACACACCGCCCGUCGCUACUACCGAUUGAAUGAUUUAGUGAGUACCAGGGACCGAGCGCUUUGGUUGGGUUUCCUUCCCUAGCGCUUGGGAACUGUCGCAAACUUGACCAUUUAGAGGAAGUAAAAGUCGUAACA